GGAGCUUGCUCCUUUGACGUUAGCGGCGGACGGGUGAGUAACACGUGGGUAACCUACCUAUAAGACUGGGAUAACUUCGGGAAACCGGAGCUAAUACCGGAUAACAUUUGGAACCGCAUGGUUCUAAAGUGAAAGAUGGUUUUGCUAUCACUUAUAGAUGGACCCGCGCCGUAUUAGCUAGUUGGUAAGGUAACGGCUUACCAAGGCGACGAUACGUAGCCGACCUGAGAGGGUGAUCGGCCACACUGGAACUGAGACACGGUCCAGACUCCUACGGGAGGCAGCAGUAGGGAAUCUUCCGCAAUGGGCGAAAGCCUGACGGAGCAACGCCGCGUGAGUGAUGAAGGGUUUCGGCUCGUAAAACUCUGUUAUUAGGGAAGAACAAAUGUGUAAGUAACUGUGCACAUCUUGACGGUACCUAAUCAGAAAGCCACGGCUAACUACGUGCCAGCAGCCGCGGUAAUACGUAGGUGGCAAGCGUUAUCCGGAAUUAUUGGGCGUAAAGCGCGCGUAGGCGGUUUCUUAAGUCUGAUGUGAAAGCCCACGGCUCAACCGUGGAGGGUCAUUGGAAACUGGGAAACUUGAGUGCAGAAGAGGAAAGUGGAAUUCCAUGUGUAGCGGUGAAAUGCGCAGAGAUAUGGAGGAACACCAGUGGCGAAGGCGACUUUCUGGUCUGUAACUGACGCUGAUGUGCGAAAGCGUGGGGAUCAAACAGGAUUAGAUACCCUGGUAGUCCACGCCGUAAACGAUGAGUGCUAAGUGUUAGGGGGUUUCCGCCCCUUAGUGCUGCAGCUAACGCAUUAAGCACUCCGCCUGGGGAGUACGACCGCAAGGUUGAAACUCAAAGGAAUUGACGGGGACCCGCACAAGCGGUGGAGCAUGUGGUUUAAUUCGAAGCAACGCGAAGAACCUUACCAAAUCUUGACAUCCUUUGAAAACUCUAGAGAUAGAGCCUUCCCCUUCGGGGGACAAAGUGACAGGUGGUGCAUGGUUGUCGUCAGCUCGUGUCGUGAGAUGUUGGGUUAAGUCCCGCAACGAGCGCAACCCUUAAGCUUAGUUGCCAUCAUUAAGUUGGGCACUCUAGGUUGACUGCCGGUGACAAACCGGAGGAAGGUGGGGAUGACGUCAAAUCAUCAUGCCCCUUAUGAUUUGGGCUACACACGUGCUACAAUGGACAAUACAAAGGGCAGCUAAACCGCGAGGUCAUGCAAAUCCCAUAAAGUUGUUCUCAGUUCGGAUUGUAGUCUGCAACUCGACUACAUGAAGCUGGAAUCGCUAGUAAUCGUAGAUCAGCAUGCUACGGUGAAUACGUUCCCGGGUCUUGUACACACCGCCCGUCACACCACGAGAGUUUGUAACACCCGAAGCCGGUGGAGUAACCAUUUAUGGAGCUAGCCGUC
rnacentral:rRNA from 1 species